rnacentral:rRNA from 1 species
AUUGAACGCUGGCGGCAUGCCUUACACAUGCAAGUCGAACGGCAGCACGGGAGCAAUCCUGGUGGCGAGUGGCGAACGGGUGAGUAAUAUAUCGGAACGUGCCCAGUCGUGGGGGAUAACGUAGCGAAAGCUACGCUAAUACCGCAUACGAUCUAUGGAUGAAAGCGGGGGAUCGCAAGACCUCGCGCGAUUGGAGCGGCCGAUAUCAGAUUAGGUUGUUGGUGGGGUAAAGCCUACCAAGCCUGCGAUCUGUAGCUGGUCUGAGAGGACGACCAGCCACACUGGAACUGAGACACGGUCCAGACUCCUACGGGAGGCAGCAGUGGGGAAUUUUGGACAAUGGGCGCAAGCCUGAUCCAGCAAUGCCGCGUGCAGGAUGAAGGCC